CAACAGUUCAUACAAAAGACUCGUAUAUUUCCGAUAUUAUGGUUGGAAAGUCUCUACCUGCUAUCCGUAAAUUAGCAGACUACGAGGUAGUGUUUUAGUGCU
rnacentral:ncRNA from 25 species